rnacentral:tRNA from 1 species
GGGCGUGUGGCUCAGUUGGUAGAGCGUUCGCUUAGCAUACAUCUUGUAUGCGAAAGGUCCUGGGUUCGAUUCCCAGCUCGUCCA